GUGCAUGUUCCAAUAUUGCUUUAAAACAAAAGUUCCAACCCAAGGGUUGGAACUCAAACUUGGAACUUUGUUUUGUGAACCCCCGCCUGAUAACCCUAGCUCCAUUUCGUAGACCAAAGAAGCAAGUCCUCCGCCGCCAUCUCUUCACAGAGGUUCGAGCUCUCUCUCCGCCAUCUCUCAGACCUCGCGAUUCGCAGAUAGCCCUCUGUCCGCCAUCUCUCACACAGGUUCGAGCUCUCUCUCCGCCACGGUUCGCAAAUAGCCCUCUGUCCGCCAUCUCUCACACAGGUUCGAGCUCUCUCUCCGCCAUCUCUCGGAGCUCGCGGUUACCAGAUAGCCCUCCGCCCGCCAUCUCUCACACAGGUUCUUUAUGCAAUGUUUUUGGUUUCCAUUGAUUAUUGAAAAUGGGUUUUUUCUUUGAUACAGAGAUAGAUUGUUUUGGCCUAGAGAGAGAGAGAGAGAAUCGUUUGGCCUAGAGAGAGUAAAAGAGAAUCGUUUGGCUUAGAGAGAGUUUAGGCCUUUAGAGAGAGAGAGAUUGUCUUGGCCUUGAGAUAGAGAGAUUGUUUUGGCCAAAGCCAAGACGGGAGACUCUCUCUACAAUCAAUUAAGAGCAUGAAGCCAAGACGGGAGACUCUCUCUACAAUCAAUUAAGAGCAUGUCCUUUAUCAAGGUUUCUCUCUCUGAAUUAACAUCUUUCUUAGCUUUGAAGCCAAAGUCUCCUCUCUCAAUGCUCUAGAUUUAUUUAGAUGUUAAAGACCAUGCCUUUAAGGGGUUUUCUCUCCUCUAUUUAUUUAGAUGUUAAAAAGGGACCUGGUUUUUUUUUGGAAAAUUUGAAUUGAGCAAAAAUUUGGGCUCUCCAUUUUCUUGUUUUUGAUGAUUACCUUUAUUUUUCUUGGAUUUCUUUCGUUUCCUCAGAGACCGCUCUCUCUGCCAUCAAACAGGUCCAGAAAGAGCUCAAAAAAUCCAUUAUUCCUGCCCUUUUUCGAGUCAUCAACCUCCCACCCUCCAUUAACAGGUAUGGUUUUUUUUUUUCUAUAUACCUAUUUCCCUUGCUCGAAAAAUUAGGGUUUCUCUGUGCGAAGAUCUUCUAAGAUCCUGUGAUAUUGGUUGUUUUCACUUGUUUUAGUACUAAAAAUGUUUGAUUUGGUUUAUCAUAUGUGGGAGAAAUUCUAAGUUGCCCAUAUUAUGGAAUCAUAGGGUUUCCUUAUUUUUUGCAUUAUUCCAUUAAUCUGUGUUUAUUUGUUAUUCAUUUGAUUAUCUGGAUUCCUUCCCCAUGAAUUUUGGCAAAAGCCCUAAAUUUCAUUGGACUGGUGUUUGUUUGUAUAUACAGUUUCACAUCUGCUGGUGUUGAUCUCUAUAUGAUUUCCAUACGGUGUUCUUUACUCUGGAGCUAUGAUCUAUGUUUACAGUUAUUUUUCGAUGGACCAUAUAUUUUUUAUUGAGCUCUAAAUCUAUUGAUCUCUAUGUUUGUUCUUGCUUUUCUUACUCUGAGCUCUGAUCUCUGUUUGCAGUUAUUUUUAGAUGGAAAAUAUAUUUUUUAUUGAGCUUUAUUUAAACCUUGUUCUACAUUUUAUAUGGACCUUAUUUUGUGGCCACAAAUAUUGAGUCCUCGUCGAAUAUUGUCUUCAUUCUAUUGCAUUUUGAAUUAUGUAUGUUUAAACUAUUACGGGUUAUUCUUGAAUGGGAUGAUUUCUUACUGCUUGCAUUGUGCAUGUGUGUUUGAAUAAGUUGAUUUCUUAGUUCCUGCAUUUUUAAUUAUGCAUGUUUAAACUAUAACAGGUUAGUGUUUAACUUAAUUAAAUUGAGGUUGUGCUUGACAUUGUUUAUAGAUUGCUUUAAUUUUGAGGUGCAAUGAAGUUUAUCAUGGAACAUUUGCAUCAAUUGGUGUACAAAUGUGUCUCUCUGUAAGACGCUUCUCGCACUCAUCAAUUUUAAAACUCUCUCUCUCAAUCCAACAUACUUUACUUUCAAUUGAUAUUGUAUUCCAAAAAGUAAUAUUAUACAAAUUAAUAAAAAAUAAUUAUCUAGAUCUCAAUUUUAACAUUUACAUCUUGUCUAUUAUUUAAAGCUAAUCCAAUACAUAUAUCCAAUUCUUCUUUAACUUCUUAGGAGGUUAUCAAACAAGAAACCGGGAACUUCUUAACUUCCCAAGAGGUUAUCAAACACAGAAGCCAUGAACUUCUUAACUUCCCAGGAGAUUAUCAAACACAGAAGCCAGGAACUUCUUUAGUAACUUCCAAUUUACAGUUAAGAAUGAACUUCCAAUUUACAGUUCAUGAACUUGCUUCCAGUUAUCAAACAAACCGAGUGAAGACUCAAGUGUGAGAAUUGAAUAAGUGAGGGCGUAUUUAUAAGCUUCUAGCCACCAAGUGUAUAGAUACUUCUAGAUAGAUGAAUCUAGGCCUUCCAUGUCAUCAUCUUAUAUCUACCUAGAGAGGCUUGAUCCUAGCCCACCAUCAACCAUCAAGUCAUCUUCAUGUGUAAUAUGAGUUUAACCACCUUUAUCCUCUUUUUUUAAAAAUCACAACUCACUCUAACUCCCCCUUGUAUAAAAAUAGCCUUGCUCUUUCCAAAUAAUUAAACUUAAAACCAAGUUAGAGGGCAUAUCCUUGAGGUAAUUAUGCAAAAUUCCACCAAAAAUCAAAUUUGACACUUUCUCGCCAGUUUGAAAGAGCAUGUGUGGUCAACCAAAACAUGCUACAUGUACAAGUUGGUUAAGUGCACAAUUACCACAUACCCUUAGGGUUUAAAUUAAAGUAUCAAACCCUAUGCCCCUUCUAGAAGGGCUCACAUAUGUGCACACACCCAUUUGCUUUUCAAAUUUAGCUUGUACCUACAUUAAUUUUCUAAAAUAAUAAAAAAUAGCACAUUUAGAUACCCCCACUUGAAAUAAAAAUUCAACAAAGGAUAAAGGGGUCCCAUGGAGGGUUGACGCUAACACCACGUAGGGUUGACAUGGGACCCCCCAUGGCCACGUGGACACCCAUUGGCCAUUUGGGUGUCCCGUAAGGUUGACAUGGGACCCCUUGUGACCAUGUGGACACCCAUUAGCCAUUUGGGUGUCCCGUGUGGGUCAUAGGAGUCUGCCAUUGAUUGUUAUUUCGAGAAACCGAAAAACUCAUUUUUUUGCCCAAAAAAUCCAAAAAAAUCUUCAAAAAUUCACAAAAAUCCUUGUAAUCAUUUUUCAUCAAAAUAAAUCAUUUUAACACUAUAUAAAAAUAUUUUCAAGGGGAAUUAGGAUCCUAUGAAGCUGAAUUAAUAACCAGAGCACUCCACUCGGAUAGACUUGGAAUCUAAAGUCGCCUUCUCGAUAUCCCCCAACAAACUCAUGACCCACAAUGACAGGGGCUCAUGAAAUAGCUUAUCAAAGUCAAACCAAUAAGUGACCCUAAAUCCCUAAGUACUAUUGGAUUUCAAGUGCACCCCCUAGAAGACAUACACACACAUGGUGCAGGGGUUCCUCUCUUAGCACAUAUGCAUACCUCUUACAAGUGGAUCCCUCGAAGAGCAGCUUCCCACACUUUGCAAUUGUUUAUGCAUAUGCUACGAGAAUGUUCUAUGUGUCAAGGAUUUAGGCCAAUGCUCUCUGUUGGCCCUAAUUUUCCUGUAUAUAGCUAAUUUGGUCAUCGAGCUCGUAUCAUCGACCACAUAAAUCAUACAAAAUAUAUCACCCUGGCCCGUCACGAGGCUCAAAAACAAUAACCAGCCAUGACAUAGAGGUAACCCUCAACCCUCUUGGUAGCUUCCAUACAUACGAAUC
rnacentral:lncRNA from 1 species